UACGGAAGGCAGCAGUGGGGAAUAUUGCACAAUGGGCGAAAGCCUGAUGCAGCUAUGCCGCGUGUAUGAAGAAGGCCUUAGGGUUGUAAAGUACUUUCAUCGGGGAGGAAAAACAAAACUAAUAAUUUUAUUUCUUGACGUUACCCGAAAAAGAAGCACCGGCUAACUCCGUGCCAGCAGCCGCGGUAAUACGGAGGGUGCUAGCGUUAAUCAGAAUUACUGGGCGUAAAGAGCACGUAGGUGGUUUUUUUAAGUCAGAUGUGAAAUCCCUGGGCUUAACCUAGGAACUGCAUUUUGAAACUGAAAUACUAGAGUAUCGUAGAGGGAGGUAGAAUUCUAGGUGUAGCGGUGAAAUGCGUAGAUAUCUGGAGGAAUACCUGUGGCGAAAGCGGCCUCCUAAACGAAUACUGACACUGAGGUGCGAAAGCGUGGGGAGCAAACAGGGAUUUAGAUACCCCCUCGUGAAGUACGUCGACCGAACGGCCAACACGGAAGGGGUAAUAAGG
rnacentral:rRNA from 1 species